rnacentral:rRNA from 1 species
CUACGUGCCAGCAGCCGCGGUAAUACGGGGGGUGCGAGCGUUAAUCGGAAUAACUGGGCGUAAAGGGCACGCAGGCGGUGACUUAAGUGAGAUGUGAAAGCCCCGGGCUUAACCUGGGAAUUGCAUUUCAUACUGGGUCGCUAGAGUACUUUAGGGAGGGGUAGAAUUCCACGUGUAGCGGUGAAAUGCGUAGAGAUGUGGAGGAAUACCGAAGGCGAAGGCAGCCCCUUGGGAAUGUACUGACGCUCAUGUGCGAAAGCGUGGGGAGCAAACAGGAUUAGAUACCCUGGUAGUCCACGCUGUAAACGAUGUCGAUUUGAGGAUUGGGCUUUAAGCUUGGUGCCCGUAGCUAACGUGAUAAAUCGACCGCCUGGGGAGUACGGCCGCAAGGUUAAAACUCAAAUGAAUUGACGGGGGCCCGCACAAGCGGUGGAGCAUGUGGUUUAAUUCGAUGCAACGCGAAGAACCUUACCUACUCUU